rnacentral:rRNA from 1 species
AUACAGAGGCCGCGAGCGUUAAUCGGAAUUACUGGGCGUAAAGCGCGCGUAGGCGGCUUAUUAAGUCAGAUGUGAAAUCCCCGGGCUCAACCUGGGAACUGCAUCUGAUACUGGUAAGCUAGAGUUUUGGAGAGGGAAGUAGAAUUUCAGGUGUAGCGGUGAAAUGCAUAGAGAUCUGAAGGAAUACCAGUGGCGAAGGCGACUUCCUGGCCAAAAACUGACGCUGAGGUGCGAAAGCGUGGGUAGCAAACGGGAUUAGAAACCCUUGUAGUCC